rnacentral:lncRNA from 1 species
UCAGCAGUUGUCAUGGAUACCAUGUAAAGCUCAGCAGUUCUGCUGGGGCCCACGGUUAGAGGAACUCCACGUAAUUCUCAGGGAUGAGGCCAGUCUUUCCGUUCAGAGUCCCCUCCAACCAGCCAGGCUCCUGAGAUGGGUGAACUGUACAGGAAAUUCCCUUCCUGGGCUAAUUAAAUGACUUCCUGAGCUUGUUUUAGAAAAGCAUUUCCGCUCCGACACUGCUACAGAAUUCUAGUUUCAGUUUGUAGGGAAAG